UGUUGAGGUUACUAGAUGUAUAAACAGAGAAACGCGAGGAUAAAUUAUAAGCUGGUCCACAUCCGCACGCUAGCAAUGUUACCCUAUAACUGAAAACCCCGAAGCCAUCAUCGCCUGUCAGCUGUUUAUGGUCUACCUUCGUCCCAUUCUUUUGUCUAUACGCUGUCGAUGGCUUCAGUGCAUGAGAAAACUAAAAAGAUCAGAUAUAGAGUUUUCUUAGAAGUGGUGACAACUUCAACAAAAAUUAUUCUAAAUAAGGAGAGGUCCAUAUUGUUGUACCCUUGAAUAUACAUUUGUUUUGGGUUAUAAGGUUUUGGAACAAAGGAACUAAUAAAUAGAUUUCUAUUUAUGUUCCUUGUAGCCUUUCGCUAAAACUAUAAGGUUAAUUUUCUUGGUAAUGUCCUUUUGCUAUAAAUGAACGUGCUCCCUAUCGAUUCUAUUGUAUUGUAACAUUAAGAAAGUAAGGAUCUGAAUCAGCAUAAACUUAAACAUUAUACUUAUACCUUUAUUUAUUUCAAUAUAUUUUUCUAUUGCAAAUUCAUCCACUCGUUCUUCUAUCAGUCAACCUCAACAGAAUACAGUAUAUUUUUGCCAGCGUGUCUUUCAGUCAUGAACACAUUUCUAAAAGCACUUUCUUCUAUAGUGCAUAACUCGCAUAACGACUUUUGUUUUAUUUUGUCAUUUUGGAGAAUAACAAAUAAUCGCAAGGGACCGAUCAGGUCAAUAUGGUGACUGUAAAUGUUAUUUUGGCGAGAAACUCCCGAGUCAGUAGUGAUACAUGAGCUGAUGUGUUAUAGUAGUACAAUUUCUACGAGUGAUCGUUUCACAAAUCCUUCGAAUUGCUUCGUACAAUUGGCGCGAAACGCUCAAAUAGUAUUCUCUAUGGAUCGUAACAUAUUGUGAUAAAAAUUUAUGAAACACAAUACCACGGUAAU